GAAUAUUGGACAAUGGGGGCAACCCUGAUCCAGCCAUGCCGCGUGUGUGAAGAAGGCCUUCGGGUUGUAAAGCACUUUCAGCAGGGAGGAAAGGCGUACGGUUAAUACCCGUGCGAGUUGACGUUACCUGCAGAAGAAGCACCGGCAAACACCGUGCCAGCAGCCGCGGUAAGGCGGAGGGUGCAAGCGUUAAUCGGAAUUACUGGGCGUAAAGCGCGCGUAGGCGGCUUGUUAAGCUGGAUGUGAAAGCCCCGGGCUCAACCUGGGAAUUGCAUCCAGAACUGGCAGGCUAGAGUACGGUAGAGGUGAGUGGAAUUUCCUGUGUAGCGGUGAAAUGCGUAGAUAUAGGAAGGAACACCAGUGGCGAAGGCGGCUCACUGGACUGAUACUGACGCUGAGGUGCGAAAGCGUGGGGAGCAAACAGG
rnacentral:rRNA from 1 species